rnacentral:misc_RNA from 1 species
UCCAACUUAUCGCUGGCGGUCUCCUGAGAGUGCCCCCUUGCGGGGUUGCAACACAGGACAAGGGUUGCGCUCGUUGCGGGACUUAACCCAACAUCUCACGACACGAGCUGACGACAGCCAUGCAGCACCUCUAUGGCGGCCUCCGAAGAGGAGACCCUAUUUCUAGGGCUGUCCGCCACAGUUCAAGCCCAGGUAAGGUUCUUCGCGUUGUAUCGAAUUAAACCACAUGCUCCGCUGCUUGUGCGGGUCCCCGUCAAUUCCUUUGAGUUUUAGCCUUGCGGCCGUACUCCCCAGGCGGGGCGCUUAAUGCGUUAGCUACGGCACGGAUCCCGUGGAAGGAAACCCACACCUAGCGCCCACCGUUUACGGCGUGGACUAC